AUACGGAGGAUCCGAGCGUUAUCCGGAUUUAUUGGGUUUAAAGGGAGCGUAGGCGGACGCUUAAGUCAGUUGUGAAAGUUUGCGGCUCAACCGUAAAAUUGCAGUUGAUACUGGUUUCCUUGAGUACGGUACAGGUGGGCGGAAUUCGUGGUGUAGCGGUGAAAUGCUUAGAUAUCACGAAGAACUCCGAUCGCGAAGGCAGCUCACCGGGCCGGAACUGACACUGAUGCUCGAAAGUGCGGGUAUCAAACAGGAUUAGAUACCCUGGUAGUCCGCACAGUAAACGAUGAAUACUCGCUGUUUGCGAUACACGGUAAGCGGCCAAGCGAAAGCGUUAAGUAUUCCACCUGGGGAGUACGCCGGCAACGGUGAAACUCAAAUGAAUUGGCGGGG
rnacentral:rRNA from 1 species